CAUGAAUUGUUGUUGAAUAUUAUUGAAUGCUUUUUUUGCAUAUAUUGAGAUGACCAGAUCAUUUUCUCCUUCAGUCUUUGGAAAUAUUAACAGAUUUUUCUAAUGUUAAACUAACCAUGUGUUCAUGAAGAAACCUUUAAAUUAUCGGAUUCAAUUUGGCAAUAUUUGAUUUAGUACAUUUUACAUUUAUUAUGAGUAAGAUUGAUUUGUAAUUUUCCUUUUUUAUAUUGACUUUGGUUUGAUAUUAAGUUUGUACCAAUUUCUUACAUUGAGGGCAAGAUUUAUCCUUCUUUCUUUUCUCUCUUGUUAGACUUUGGGUUUGGUGUUUUCUUGGUAGGAUUUUUGUUGUUAAGAAUUGAUGUACUUUCUUCAGUAGCUGUAGUAACAUUUAGCUUCUCUGUUUCUUUUUUAGUUUGUUUUAGGAAUUUACAUUAUUGUAUAAUUUGUCCAUUUCACUUAAGUACUUUUUAUCUGAGGUAGACUUAACUGCUGAUUUUCUCGGGGACUAUUAAGAUCUUUCUCAGUAAAUGUUUUGUGAUUAUAAUUAUAAACAAAGGACUCUGACAUCCCUUGACUUCUUUGAUCUUAGAGCUUCCUUAUCUUUUUAAUGUUGUUAGUUGUGCCCUACUUUGUUUCCCUUGGUUUGAACCUGGUUUGGAUGUGCCUGUUUAAUCUAUAAAAGUCCUUGUUAGGCUGGGCACGGUGGCUCACGCCUGUAACCCCAGCACCAUGGGAGGCCGAGGUGGGUGGAUCACCUGAGGUCAGGAGUUUGUGACCAGCCUGGCCAACAUGGUGAAACCCCAUCUCUACUAAAAAUAUAAAAAUUAGCUGGGCAUGGUGGUGGGUGCCUGUAAUUCCAGCUACUGGAGAGGCUGAGGCAGGAGAAUUGCUUGAACCCAGGAGACGGAGGUUGCAGUGAACCAAACAUGGUGCCAUUGCACUCCAGCCCAGGCGACAGAGCGAGACUCUGUCUGGAAAAAAAAAAAAAAAAAAAAAAAAAAGUCCUUGUUAAUGGAAAUCUUUUUUCUUAGAUGCUGUUGUGGGAGGGUAAUAAAUAUUAAUAAUUAUGUACUUUGUUUUAAAUUUCCACUGGAUGAAUUGGCUUGGCUGAUCUUCACUCAAAAUUGGGACCAAAUCCAAAUGAUUUUGACGGUUUAGAGAAGUUAAUGUUUUAUUUUGUUUAAACUGUCAUAGCCUCUGAGCAUUAUGAGGUUUUGCCAUAACCAUUUAAUUAUGGAGAUAGUUUCCAAUUUUUUUAAUGAUAACUUUUUUUAAAAAAAACUUUGGUUACUGUGAUGUGCAGUGGAGCAUAGUAGACUUCUUUUUCAUUGAUGCUGAAAAUGGUAUGUCCCCAAGUAGUAGAAGGGAACUUUGGAGAAGUAAAACUAUUGCCAGAUGGGCUUGGGUGGUUCAGUAAACCUUACAAAGGCAAAAGGCUUAUAUAAAAUAUGAUCUUCAUUUUCUGUUGAACUACUGCUAACACUGUAUAUUUGCAAGUCACUUUAUUAAAUUUCUCUUUGUUCCAAUUAACACAUCUUUGCUAUGUGUCACCAGUAAAUUAAAUGGCAAUUGGCCAUUGGCUUACUGAGAAUCAUCAAUUUCUUAGUGGCUAAUUGUAUGAGUGUAAAAACAAGAUUGCUCACUUAUAUAAAUUAUCAAAAGAUAUAAGAAAACUUAAAAUUCCUUCUCAGAUUUCUAUAGUAAACAACCCAUACACUUUCACCUAGCGUUUACCAUUAACGUUUUACUUCUAUCCCUUCAUCCCUUUAUUAAUCAUCUUAUUCUUUUAAUGCAUUUCAAAGGAUAUUGCAUAUAUCAGUAUGCUUUUCAUGAAAUACUUCAACAUACGUAUCAUUAACUGGAAUUUAAUAGUUGUUUACAGCUUUUUUUUGAAGUAAAAUUUAUGGAAAGUAAAAUGCAUAAACUAUAAGUGCAUAUUUGCUAAUUUUUGACAAAUGUGUUUGCUUAUGAAACCCAAAGUCCUUUCAAGAUACAAGACAUUGCCAUCACCCCAGAAAGUUAUGUCUUACCUUGUUAGAGUUUACAUGUACCACCAUUUUCCCCACUCCCACCCGUCAUUCCAACUCUGCUCUUAGACAAUCACUGUUCUAAUUUCUUCUGCUGUGAAUUAGUUUUGCCUAUUUUGGAAAUAUACAGUAUGACGUCUUUUAUGGAAGGCCUCUUUCACUCAGCAUGUUUGACAUUCAUCUUUAAUGUUGUAAGAAGCAGUAGUUCCUUCCUUUUUUAUUACCGUUGUAUAAAUAUACUACAAUUGACUUGUCUCUUUUCCUGUUAAUGGACUCUUGAAUUGUAUCCAGUUUUUGGCUAUUACGAAUAACACUAUCUACAUUCUUGCACAAGUCUUUUUGUGGACAUGUGUUUUUAUUUCUCUUGGGUAAAUAUAUAGGAAUGGAAUUGCUAGGAUAUAAGAUAGAUGUAUCUUUAAUUUUGUAAGAAAUUGUUAGAUUAUUUUCCAAAGUGAUUGUACCAUUUUAUACUUCAACAAAGACUGUAUUAGAGCUUUGGUUGCUCCACAUCCUCACCAGCAUUUGAUGUUGUCAGUCUUAAUCUUAGCCAUUCUGGUAGAUGAGUAGUGAUAUCGUGUUUUAAUUACAUUUUCCUAAUAACUAAUGAUGUUGAGCACUUUUUCAUGUGCUUGUUAGCUAUUCAUAUAUUUUCUUUUGUGAAGUGUCUGUUUAGAUCUUUUGUUCAUUUUGUUGGGCGAGGGAUGUUUCUUUUUAU
rnacentral:lncRNA from 10 species